UACGUAGGGUCCGAGCGUUGUCCGGAAUUAUUGGGCGUAAAGGGCUCGUAGGCGGUCUGUCGCGUCGGGAGUGAAAACACCAGGCUUAACUUGGUGCUUGCUUUCGAUACGGGCAGACUUGAGGCAUGCAGGGGAGAACGGAAUUCCUGGUGUAGCGGUGAAAUGCGCAGAUAUCAGGAGGAACACCGGUGGCGAAGGCGGGUCUCUGGGCAGUAACUGACGCUGAGGAGCGAAAGCGUGGGGAGCGAACAGG
rnacentral:rRNA from 1 species